GGCUUGAUGGUCUAGUAGUAUGAUUCCUUCUUAGGGUGGAGGAGGUCCCGGGUUCAAUUCCCGGUCAAGCCC
rnacentral:tRNA from 1 species